UGGGGAAUAUUGCACAAUGGGGGAAACCCUGAUGCAGCGACGCCGCGUGAACGAAGAAGGUAUUCGUAUCGUAAAGUUCUGUCCUAUGGGAAGAUAAUGACAGUACCAUAGAAGAAAGCUCCGGCUAAAUACGUGCCAGCAGCCGCGGUAAUACGUAUGGAGCGAGCGUUGUCCGGAAUUAUUGGGCGUAAGGGUACGCAGGCGGUUUAAUAAGUCGAAUGUUAAAGAUCGGGGCUCAACCCCGCAAAGCAUUGGAAACUGAUAAACUUGAGUAGUGGAGAGGAAAGUGGAAUUCCUAGUGUAGUGGUGAAAUACGUAGAUAUUAGGAGGAAUACCAGUAGCGAAGGCGACUUUCUGGACACAAACUGACGCUGAGGUACGAAAGCGUGGGGAGCAAACAGG
rnacentral:rRNA from 1 species